ACUACGGGUGGCUGCAGUGAGGAAUAUUGGUCAAUGGGCGCAAGCCUGAACCAGCCAAGUCGCGUGAGGGAUGACGGUCCUAUGGAUUGUAAACCUCUUUUGUCGGGGAGCAAGGCCCGCCACGUGUGGCGGGAAGGAGAGUACCCGAAGAAAAAGCAUCGGCUAACGCCGUUCCAGCAGCCGCGGUAAUACGGAGGAUCCUAGCGUUAUCCGGCUUUAUUGGGUUUAAAGGUAGCGUAGAUGGGUUGUUAAGUCAGUUGUGAAAGUUUGCGGCUCAACAGUAAAAUUGCAAUUGAUACUGGCAGCCUUGAGUACAGUUGAGGUAGGCGGAAUUCGUGGUGUAGCGGUGAAAUGCUUAGAUAUCACGAAGAACUCCGAUUGCGAAGGCAGCUUACUAAACUGCCACUGACAUUGAUGCUCGAAAGUGUGGGUAUCAAACAGGAUUAGAUACCCUGGUAGUC
rnacentral:rRNA from 1 species